AUUCCAUAAAAAGCUUCUCUUUUCAUCGGAUCUUAUUCAUCAUUUACUAUAAAUCGUUUAUCAAAAACAAGAAGAAGGGAAAACAAAAACUAAAACCGUGUUUUCAAUGUGCUUUUAUAUUCAUAUAUGAUUCUAAUUAGUUUAGAUUUUGAAAAUAUACAUACAUCGAACUUCAAACAACACUUGUCAAAAAGAUAUUGAUGGGUCAAAGUCUUAACAC
rnacentral:lncRNA from 1 species